rnacentral:rRNA from 1 species
CCUACGGGAGGCAGCAGUGGGGGAUAUUGGACAAUGGGGGGAACCCUGAUCCAGCGACGCCGCGUGCGUGAAGAAGUAUUUCGGUAUGUAAAGCUCUGUCAGCAGGGAAGAAAGCAAUGACGGUACCUGACCAAGAAGCCCCGGCUAACUACGUGCCAGCAGCAGCGGUAAUACGUAGGGGGCAAGCGUUAUCCGGAAUUAUUGGGUGUAAAGGGUGCGUAGGCGGCUGUGCAAGUCUGGGGUGAAAGGCGGGGGUCCAACCCCCGGACUGCUCUGGAUACUGUAUGGCUGGAGUGCAGGUGAGGUAGGCGGAAUGUAUGGUGUAGCGGUGAAAUGCGUAGAGAUUA